rnacentral:rRNA from 1 species
GGGGGGGGGGGGGGGGGGGGCGGAGGGGGGGGGGGCGAGGGGGGGCUUCGGUUCUAGCGGCGGACGGGUGAGUAACGCGUGGGAAUGUGCCCUUCUCUACGGAAUAGCCCUGGGAAACUGGGGGUAAUACCGUAUACGCCAUAUUGGGGAAAGAUUUAUCGGAGAAGGAUCAGCCCGCGUUGGAUUAGGUAGUUGGUGGGGUAAUGGCCUACCAAGCCGACGAUCCAUAGCUGGUUUGAGAGGAUGAUCAGCCACACUGGGACUGAGACACGGCCCAGACUCCUACGGGAGGCAGCAGUGGGGAAUCUUAGACAAUGGGGGCAACCCUGAUCUAGCCACGCCGCGUGAGUGAUGAAGGCCUUAGGGUUGUAAAGCUCUUUCAGCUGGGAAGAUAAUGACGGUACCAGCAGAAGAAGCCCCGGCUAACUCCGUG